UCAUGAAGAGUGACAGAAAAAUAUAAGGUCAAACUUACAUUUGAGAGAUCUAUCUGAAACUGAAACAUUUAGAAAAAUUCAGUUGUUUUCAGGAUGGCUUUCUUUCUUGGGGCAAUUGACAUAUCCAAGAGGACUGGUUUCUGAGGUUGCUUUCUGCUGGAACUAGUGAACGUCGAACAGAAUUAAGAAAUGAUAGAAGCUAAUGAGCUUCAUAUCACUUCAAAGGAGACAAAACUUUUGU